rnacentral:rRNA from 1 species
CUCCUACGGGAGGCUGCAGUGGGGAAUAUUGGACAAUGGGGGCAACCCUGAUCCAGCAAUGCCGCGUGUGUGAAGAAGGCCUUCGGGUUGUAAAGCACUUUAGGCUGGGAAGAAGGUGAGUAGUUUAAGAGACAAUUCAUUUGACGGUACCGGCAGAAUAAGCACCGGCUAACUCUGUGCCAGCAGCCGCGGUAAUACAGAGGGUGCGAGCGUUAAUCGGAAUUACUGGGCGUAAAGGGCGCGUAGGUGGUUAUAUAAGAUUGUUGUGAAAUCCCUGGGCUUAACCUAGGAACUGCAACGAUGACUGUAUAGCUUGAGUAUUGUAGAGGGUAGUGGAAUUUCCGGUGUAGCGGUGAAAUGCGUAGAGAUCGGAAGGAACACCAGUGGCGAAGGCGGCUACCUGGACAAAUACUGACACUGAGGCGCGAGAGCGUGGGGAGCAAACAGGAUUAGAUACCCUGGUAGUCCACGCUGUAAACGAUGAAGACUAGAUGUUGGGCAGCUUGACUGUUUAGUAUCGAAGCAAACGCGAUAA